CUCGCUACAACAACUGCUCCUCUUUGCUGAAGCCAAUUCGGGCAAAAAUAACCCUGCCAAAGGACACUUCUUAGCUUUCACUCCCGGAAAGUAACCGGGUCAUCACAGCCAGGAGAGCAGAGAGGCUGGCCUCUCCUCCACCAUGCCGCACACAUGCAAUAAAAAGCACACUGAUGGUGAUCUGCAAGAAAAACACACCGGCGUCACAGCGAUUACUAAAGAUGAACCAGAUAACUCUGAGCACCAUGGGAUGGUAGGAAAGCUCUGCUUGAAUUCGGAUGCAAAUGUCCCUAAACUGUCCUGUCCAACUCAAGUAAAUGAUACACCACGAGGCUCGGACGCGGAAGAGGUAGUGGCCUUGAAACCACAUGUAGUGGAAGAAGGCCCGAAAUGCUCCUUCUUGGAAAACAAAAUGGAUGACUUGAAUGCUGCAGCAAAACCACAGGGUCCACUACGGGUUACUCUGAAACUAAGAAAAAGCCACCAACAGAGGAAAAGAGCUGCUGCU